GACGAACGCUGGCGGCGUGCUUAACACAUGCAAGUCGAACGAAGAGCGAUGGAAGCUUGCUUCUAUCAAUCUUAGUGGCGAACGGGUGAGUAACGCGUAAUCAACCUGCCCUUCAGAGGGGGACAACAGUUGGAAACGACUGCUAAUACCGCAUACGAUCUAACCUCGGCAUCGAGGAUGGAUGAAAGGUGGCCUCUAUGUAUAAGCUAUCACUGAAGGAGGGGAUUGCGUCUGAUUAGCUAGUUGGAGGGGUAACGGCCCACCAAGGCGAUGAUCAGUAGCCGGUCUGAGAGGAUGAACGGCCACAUUGGGACUGAGACACGGCCCAGACUCCUACGGGAGGCAGCAGUGGGGAAUCUUCCGCAAUGGACGAAAGUCUGACGGAGCAACGCCGCGUGAGUGAUGACGGCCUUCGGGUUGUAAAGCUCUGUUAAUCGGGACGAAAGGCCUUCUUGCGAACAGUUAGAAGGAUUGACGGUACCGGAAUAGAAAGCCACGG
rnacentral:rRNA from 1 species